UACAGAGGGUGCAAGCGUUAAUCGGAAUUACUGGGCGUAAAGCGUGCGUAGGCGGUUAAGUAAGUCAGGUGUGAAAGCCCCGGGCUCAACCUGGGAAUUGCAUUUGAGACUGCCUAGCUAGGGUGCGGAAGAGGGAAGCGGAAUUUCCGGUGUAGCGGUGAAAUGCGUAGAUAUCGGAAGGAACAUCAGUGGCGAAAGCGGCUUCCUGGUCCAGCACCGACGUUCAGGCACGAAAGCGUGGGGAGCAAACAGG
rnacentral:rRNA from 1 species